ACUUCUCUACUCAGUACUGGAGAUGUGUAGUUUCAUAUCUCUCUCUUUGUCGUUAGGCCCCGUUCCCAUGGAGAUCCCUGUCCACUUUCUGCACGACAAGCAUUCUGGGAGCCACGACCGAGGCGUCAUGCGUGGAGACAUCACCUGACAUAACGGUCGAUGUGAUGUCAAGGUAAAAUGUGGUUGUGUCACACAUUUUCAGAAAUUGGAAGCCCUUGAAACCCGAACCGCGUUUCAAUUAGAUCAUGGCUGAUUUACCUUCACUUCUUCAGUCUCAAUCGUUCUGUUCCAUGUGAUGAAAGCACAAACUUCAAACAAGUCUGAAUAUCUGACAGAAAUCUGCACUGCUCCAGAUGUUUCAUUUGAGGACCCCUGUGUUUUACAAACCCUGCAUACACUUGGAGGGAUUCUGGCACAGAGAAGGGAACUGGAGAAAAAACUGAAAACUUUUCAGAAUUCAAAAAGCUCUACACGUAAAAGACUGAGGCACAGGGUAGAGCAAUAGGAUUAUCAAUCACGUGGGAAUUUAUAGCAGUGAAUGGGAUUGUGUAUAUUUAAUAAUUAAGUGAGGCCUAAACUUUGUCCCAAAAGUGACUAAAUUAAAACUGUGCUGAAUAUUGUUUUUGACUGAUGUGCAUCUUCACCACAGUAGCAUUAUAAAUGUUAUACACAAGUAACAAUCCAAGAUAACCUACCCAUGGAUGUCAGUCAAACUACUAACCAUUCAAUAGAGCGUGGAAUUUCAUCAUAUUGCACCUGUAGGCUCAAGAUAGUUUAUAUCUUUUUUUCCCUCCCAAAGCCAGAUUUCGUUUCUUCCCCUCCUUUUCUCCCUCUCUCAAGAUGAUGGCUGUCAAUGACAGUUCAACAGAAAUCAUUUCCAAACCUGGGCAACAGCGGCUUUGAACUUAGUUGUGCAACUUGUGACCACCUUGUCACAGGUGAGAGAAUGUCCUUUCCAUUACAAUAAAUAUACUUAGGAGCUCAAUUUCUGAAUUGAUGAUGUGUGGAGACAGAUUUAAAGAGACGAUAAACAGCAUAAUCUUUUCUCACAAAACUCUCUCUCUGUGUACUUGUCAAUGCUUCUCAAAGAAAAUCACCAGGAGUGGAACAGAAUGAACAGACAGAAAGGAGACUCAGCACACUAUUGGAUUUGAGAGCAGGACAUAAUUUCCAGUCCAAUUCCCCUGUCCUUUCAGAAUUCGGCAAAACAUAUUGAGAAAUCCUAUGAAAAGCUGCAGGUGAAGGCUGAUUUUAUUUUAAAAGAAUAAACACUUUGAAACCAA